AACGAACGCUGGCGGCAUGCCUAACACAUGCAAGUCGAACGAGACCUUCGGGUCUAGUGGCGCACGGGUGCGUAACGCGUGGGAACCUGCCCUUAGGUUCGGAAUAACUCCCCGAAAGGGGUGCUAAUACCGGAUAAUGUCUUCGGACCAAAGAUUUAUCGCCUUUGGAUGGGCCCGCGUUGGAUUAGAUAGUUGGUAGGGUAAAAGCCUACCAAGGCGACGAUCCAUAGAUGGUCUGAGAGGAUGAUCAGCCACACUGGGACUGAGACACGGCCCAGACUCCUACGGGAGGCAGCAGUGGGGAAUAUUGGAAAAUGGGCGAAAGCCUGAUCCAGCAAUGCCGCGUGAGUGAUGAAGGCCUUAGGGUUGUAAAGCUCUUUUACCCGGGAUGAUAAUGACAGUACCGGGAGAAUAAGCUCCGGCUAACUCCGUG
rnacentral:rRNA from 1 species